GGUGGCUGAGGCUUUUUGCUGCUGGUGCUCUGGGGCUUUUUUUUUCCCCCAAAAUUCACGCUGUGUGCUGCUUUGGGAGAGAGAAGAGGCAGAGCGUGGUCCCAGCCUGCUUUACCCUGUGCCCUGUGGGAGACGAGGUCCUGGCGUGCUGCGUUUUGGAGAGGGGAAGCUGAGGCUUUCACCCACGGGAGCCUCCCAAGGACGCGGAUUCCUGCUAUUCGUCAAAUGCAUUUCACCGUGCUCUGCUCUGACACUGCUGGAUGUCACGGAUGGCCUUCAGGCUGCCUUUUCCUGUCCUCAGUGAGGCCACCUCUCCUUUUCCAGGUGACAACCCCCCUCCCACCCAGCUGCCUGCGUGCAGGAGCAGCUUUUGGGCCAUGGGAUCCAGCGACGCCGCGUCCUGCUGCCCAUCUUGUGCGUAAAUUAUUCACACCGCUCGCAAGCUGCUCCGUGCAGCCCGCAGUCGUCCUGCGGUUGAUUUUAAGGCAUGGUGACAGGUCGAGGGCUGGAUCAGUAGCGUUAAUACGCGAGCACGGGGCGCGCGGCGCCAGCGGAGCAGAUGUCGUGUAAGUCACAGCGUGUUAACGCCGCGCUGAGGCAUCGCGGUGACGCUGCUGAGAUGAUGCCACCUUGGAGAGCAAACGGGGCGUAGUGGUAAUCAAGGAUGCUCCGCGCUGCUUCUCCCACGAGCAUCUCCAUCGGUUCUGUUAAACCUCGUCCACGACCCGCUCCGGGAUGCUGCGGGAGAUGGGAUGCUCCUCGCCUGGUUUUUGGUGCCUGGAGUGAAGUUUUUGGUACCCGUGCAGGUUGUGCAUCUUCUCUUAAAGAUCAGCACAGAGAAAGAAAUGCCUUCAGGGUGCUGUUCGCUUGUGCUAGUGUAAAGCAAGAAAGCAAAGAUGAAGGGUGUCUGCUUUUUUCCUUCUUGACUGUUAAGGUCGUGAAGGUCAUGGCCAAGAUGUGAAUACCUAAAAAAACCAUCUCGGGUGAUGAAAGUGAAGCCCACCUUGGGUUUCAAUUUGGUUGGAUGCGAGUCUGGUCAGAAAGUCAGGAAGAAAAAGGCCUCAUCCCUUUGCUGCCUGCCAGCUGCCUUCUCUGACCUGCACCUUUGCAAGGAGAGAGUCAGCUGGAAGGAAGCGAAACCUUGGACUUGGAUUCAAAGCCAAAAUCAGGUUCUGUCACUGCCAAGCUUGGAAAUGCUUGUGGGGUCUUUGCGCCCUUCGUAGCUCAGAGGUUCUCUUUGCAGCCUUCCCACCCUGCCAAAAAAGCAAACAAACAAACAAAAAAACCCAACCCCCAAAACAACGGGGUUACUUGAAACCUCACGCAGGAUGGCUGCAUUUUUUUUUUGCAGCUCCUUUGCAAGGGCCGGGAUCCUGUCCACAGUGGGAAAUGGGUGGCAUGCUCCCCCAAGUGCAGGGGCCCCUGCAGCCUCUCCAGUUGCUUUUGGGGGUGCCCGCAGGGGUCCCAGGGUCUCGCUGGGGGCCGGGGCAGCUUUGCACCUGGCAGGAAGGGAUUCGAGGAGGCAGCAGCAAAAGCUCAGCCAGCGUGCCAAAAUCCUCAUUAAAGUCUCAUGAGCUUGGCAGUAUAUAAAUAUGAAACUUGGACAAA